rnacentral:rRNA from 1 species
UACGUAGGGUGCGAGCGUUAAUCGGAAUUACUGGGCGUAAAGCGUGCGCAGGCGGUUCGCCAAGUCAGGUGUGAAAUCCCCGGGCUUAACCUGGGAAUGGCAAUGGAAACUGGCGGGCUGGAGUAUGGCAGAGGGGGGUGGAAUUCCGCGUGUAGCAGUGAAAUGCGUAGAGAUGCGGAGGAACACCGAUGGCGAAGGCAGCCCCCCUGGGCCAAUACUGACGCUCAGGCACGAAAGCGUGGGGAGCAAACAGG